GCAUGUGGUGGGGAAUUAAUACCGAAGAGGGACAGUUGUGCCAGCAAAUUAAAUGGGAUCUGACGACACACUGAUCAAGAAGCAAAGCCAAAGCCUCCCCAAUCCAACCUUGGGAUCUAUCAGCCAAACACAUCCUAUCCAAUUCCAGACAAUGGAGAAAGAAGUAAAGCAAUUCCAAGUCCAGUGACAACUGUGGUGCAAUUCCAUUGAUGUGCCAAGUGACAACACCACGAGUAGAACAGAGUUCUGCCGAUGCUUGCUGAAAUGAAGCUGAUUAGUGUGGUUUUGUCGAUCCACCUGCAUCAAAGGACUCUGCGGAAGUGCAGUGUGACCAUGAAUUCAAGCUCGAAGGAGGAGUUAUGAUUUCGAGUUAGAACUUUCACUUCUUCUUCUUCUUCUUCUUCUUGGAGCUGAGAGCCCUUUAACCAGGGACGGCGGUGUCCAUUGCAGAGGAAGCUCCCUAAGCAAACCACAACCUGUAACGCAACUAAUACAAUGAAAAGGUCUGCUCGCAAGUGCACCGAGGAGCUGCAGAGGUUGCUUGGAAGGGAGGAAAUAGACGCACACCGAGCUUUCGGAAAGCUUUUCCUUAUCUUGAAGAGAAACUAAGGCACUUAGAAUUGUGAUUUGAAGGUGCUUUGAGGCUUAAUGGAUGUGCGCAGGUGCCAUUAAACAAGCAUUACUCCUGCCACUGGAAUUGCUUUGGCAUGCGUCUUAGGAUAGCAGUUAUCAUAAGCCCAUUUAACAAUCCCCGUUCCGUUUGGUGGAACUCUA